UUGUCAGGUAGGAUAAUCCUUACCUGUUCCUCCUCAAAAGGAGGGCAACGAGAAAAUGAUGAGCAGAGCCCACAUGAUGUGUGAUUAGCACCUCCUGCCGGUUGAGGCCUGCAACACCCCAAUGGCUCCUAUCUGAU